GAUGAACGCUGGCGGCGUGCCUAAUACAUGCAAGUCGAGCGAACAGACGAGGAGCUUGCUCCUCUGACGUUAGCGGCGGACGGGUGAGUAACACGUGGAUAACCUACCUAUAAGACUGGGAUAACUUCGGGAAACCGGAGCUAAUACCGGAUAAUAUAUUGAACCGCAUGGUUCAAUAGUGAAAGACGGUUUUGCUGUCACUCAUAGAUGGAUCCGCGCCGCAUUAGCUAGUUGGUAAGGUAACGGCUUACCAAGGCAACGAUGCGUAGCCGACCUGAGAGGGUGGUCGGCCACACGGGAACUGAGACAGGGUCCAGACUCCUACGGGAGGCAGCAGUAGGGAAUCUUCCGCGAUGGGCGAAUGCCUGACGGAGCAACGCCGCGUGAAUGAUGAAGGUCUUCGGAUCGUAAAACGCUGUUAUUAGGGAAGAACAAAUGUGUAAGUAACUAUGCACGUCUUGACGGUACCUAAUCAGAAAGCCACGGCUAACUACGUG
rnacentral:rRNA from 1 species